GACGAACGCUGGCGGCGUGCUUAACACAUGCAAGUCGAACGGAAAGGCCUGCUUUCCCUUGUGGAUUGCGGGUACUCGAGUGGCGAACGGGUGAGUAACACGUGAGUGAUCUGUCCCCAACUUGGGUAUAAGCCUGGGAAACUGGGUCUAAUUCCCGGUAGGACUGCAGGGUGGUGCCUGUGGUGGAAAACGAUUUUCUAGUGGUUGGGGAUGAGCUCGCGGCCUAUCAGCUUGUUGGUGGGGUAAUGGCCUACCAAGGCGGCGACGGGUAGCCGGCCUGAGAGGGUGGACGGCCACAUUGGGACUGAGAUACGGCCCAGACUCCUACGGGAGGCAGCAGUGGGGAAUAUUGCACAAUGGGCGGAAGCCUGAUGCAGCGACGCCGCGUGGGGGAUGACGGCCUUCGGGUUGUAAACUCCUUUCGACCGCGAGGAAGCCACCUGGUUGGAAGGGUGGUGACGGUAGUGGUAGAAGAAGCACCGGCUAACUACGUG
rnacentral:rRNA from 1 species